CGUCUGUAGCUAUGAAGUGCUAUGAAAGGCUGGUCAUGUCUCACAUCAACACCAUUAUCCCAGAAACCCUAGACCCACUUUGUUAUGGCAUCUUCUGAUUGGGUGUCUCAGGUCAGGACUUUGUUAUGCCAUUUUCUGAUUGGGUGUCUCAGGUCAGGACUUUGUUAUGGUAUCUUCUGAUUGGGUGUCUCAGGUCAGGACUUUGUUAUGGUAUCUUCUGAUUGGGUGUCUCAGGUCAGGACUUUGUUAUGUCAUUUUCUGAUUGGGUGUCUCAGGUCAGGACUUUGUUAUGCCAUUUUCUGAUUGGGUGUCUCAGGUCAGGACUUUGUUAUGCCAUCUUCUGAUUGGGUGUCUCAGGUCAGGACUUUGUUAUGCCAUCUUCUGAUUGGGUGUCUCAGGUCAGGACUUUGUUAUGCCAUCUUCUGAUUGGGUGUCUCAGGUCAGGACUUUGUUAUGGCAUCUUCUGAUUGGGUGUCUCAGGUCAGGACUUUGUUAUGGCAUCUUCUGAUUGGGUGUCUCAGGUCAGGACUUUGUUAUGGCAUCUUCUGAUUGGGUGUCUCAGGACAGGACUUUGUUAUGGCAUCUUCUGUUUGGGUGUCUCAGGUCAGGACUUUGUUAUGCCAUCUUCUGUUUGGGUGUCUCAGGUCAGGACUGAGCCAUAAUCAGAAUGUGUCUGUGUCUAUUUCCAGCCCUGCCAUUUCUACAUGUCCUGAUCUAGUGUUUGACCCCUGACCUCCUCACACUGUCUCAAUGUCCAUGUGUUAUAAUGGACCUUAUGCUUGUUAUGUCACCUCUGUAACCAGGUAUCAAACAUACUGACCUUUCUGACUCUAUCCCAUAGCCCUACUUUCUAGAACUGAACAUUUCAAUUCCUCUAUGAGUUUGUUUCGUGUCCAUUUACUUAUUUAUGUAUGUAUUUGUUGUAUAUUGGGGUUGUGCUGCAGAGCAUCAUGGGAGUUUGUAUGUGUUGAGAUGAUCACGUUCCAGAUAAAUGGUUGAACUGA